UCGGCUUGCCCUCGAAGUCAUGCCACUACUUUUCCCGCAUGAGUUGGGGUGAUUGCGGUUUCCUCUGAGAUUCCUUGGCUUGUCAUGGCUGAAGGUGGAUGGGGUCGCCCAUGUGUCGAUUGCUAUCAGAAAGAGAAAACCCAUCCCUCAAGUUGUGGAUGAAUGUAUGCCGAUUGCGGACCCACCUCUUCUCCCUUUAAGUUUGUACUUAUCUAUGAAGCCAUCACUUUGCUAGGAAACGGGUUUCAUUGUCCGAUGAUG